AUUAUAAUGGAGUUUUAAAAAUUCGUUAUAAUAUCUCCUCCUUUCUAAACUUUAAGAUUUUCCUAAUUUCGUUUCAACGUUUUCUCGUUUCGUUCCUCUCCCGCUAUUCGUGACUAAAGCCUCUUCCUUCGUUCCUCCUUUCGUUCCUCAUUUCAUUUCAACGUUCCCUAAUUCCGCAUCAACACCAUGUAUCUCUAAUUUUUCGACACUCUCACACCACGCAUUUCUAAUUUNUCGGCACUCCUCCCUCUGAACACUCCGAGAACACUCCCUCGGUGGUUGUGGUUUAGGCUAUAGAGAGAAGAAGAGCUAGGUCAGGGGAAGACGUGUUCUUCGAUAUCUCCGCGCGAACUAAAAGCANUGUGGUUGUGNUUCUUUUUAUCUUCUUCUGCAUUGGAANGAACCCUAAUCCAUCCCUUAUCGAUCGGAAUCAAUGGAGGGAAUGUUGUCCGCGAACGAGCAGCAGAGCAUGGUGUCUUCGUUCCUUGAGGUGGCUCAGGGACAGACUACCGAGACUGUGCGCCAGUUCCUCCAGGCCUCUUAUCCGAAUUAUAGGUGAUCGAUUCCCAUGGCAAGUGAAGAGUGCCAUCUUGUCUACUCUAACAUCGAUGAUAAAAAAGGGUGGAAUCUCCCUGAAGCCUUUUCUUCCUCAGCUGCAAACAACAUUUGUCAAGUGUCUACAGGAUUCUACAAGUUCCCUCUUCGAGAAGUUUCAACCAAGGCAUUGGGAAGGCUGCUUCUUUAUAGAGCUCAAAUAGAUCCUUCUGAUACAAUGCUUUAAAUAGAUGUUCUUUCACUGCUAAUUUUAUCCACCCGUGAUGACUCCAGUGAAGUUAGGAGAAGGGCAUUAUCUGCCAUAAAAGCUGUUGCUAAGGUAAAUCCAUCGGCCAUUUUGUCACAAGGCACCAUAGUUGGUCCUGCACUAGCGGAGUGUUUGAAAGAUGCGAAUACCCCAGUUAGACUUGCUGCAGAACGAUGUGCGCUGCAUGCCUUCCAACUAGCAAAGGGUCUUUGGAAACUCAUUCAAGGUUGGGGACAUUCCAUCUGUAUCUAGGAAGAAGAUGCAAAUAGUGAUACCUAAUUGUCGACAUCAAUUGGGCAGCUAUGAGUGUGGGUAUUACGUAAUGAAGCACAUGCACACCAUUAUUUGUACAAACAUUACUGAUUCAUGGGAUAAGAUCUUUGAUGAUUCAUCUCCAAUGGAAGCUCCAGAUAUUGAAGACAUUAGAAAUAAGUGGGCUUCUUUUAUUUUAAGUGUUAUUUGGAUUUAAUAUGACUAUAAUGUAGUGUAGGUUGAUGUUAUUUGGAUUUAAUAUGAUUUACAAAUUAUGUAUUAGAUAUUAUUGAACAAUUUAAUGUUUGAAAUGGAUUUCACAUUAUGUUAGUUUAA